rnacentral:tRNA from 1 species
CGGGCAGUAGCUCAGUGGUAGAGCUCACGGGAAGACGCGGGUUCGAUUCCCGGCUGCUUGA